rnacentral:tRNA from 1 species
CAUAGCUCAGUUGGUUAGAGCAGUAGACUCAUAAUCUAUUUGUCAGAGGUUCAAGUCCUUUUGGG